rnacentral:rRNA from 1 species
AGCGAACGCUGGCGGUAGGCCUAACACAUGCAAGUCGAACGAACCUUUCGGGGUUAGUGGCGGACGGGUGAGUAACACGUGGGAACGUGCCUUUAGGUUCGGAAUAACUCAGGGAAACUUGUGCUAAUACCGAAUGUGCCCUUCGGGGGAAAGAUUUAUUGCCUUUAGAGCGGCCCGCGUCUGAUUAGCUAGUUGGUUGAGGUAAUGGCUCACCAAGGCGACGAUCAGUAGCUGGUCUGAGAGGAUGAUCAGCCACAUUGGGACUGAGACACGGCCCAAACUCCUACGGGAGGCAGCAGUGGGGAAUCUUGCGCAAUGGGCGAAAGCCUGACGCAGCCAUGCCGCGUGAAUGAUGAAGGUCUUAGGAUUGUAAAAUUCUUUCACCGGGGACGAUAAUGACGGUACCCGGAGAAGAAGCCCCGGCUAACUUCGUG